rnacentral:rRNA from 1 species
GGUAAAUGCGUAGAGAUCUGGAGGAAUACCGAUGGCGAAGGCAGCCAUCUGGCCUAAUACUGACACUGAGGUGCGAAAGCAUGGGGAGCAAACAGGAUUAGAUACCCUGGUAGUCCAUGCCGUAAACGAUGUCUACUAGCCGUUGGGGGAUUUGAUCCUUUAGUGGCGCAGCUAACGCGAUAAGUAGACCGCCUGGGGAGUACGGUCGCAAGACUAAAACUCAAAUGAAUUGACGGGGGCCCGCACAAGCGGUGGAGCAUGUGGUUUAAUUCGAUGCAACGCGAAGAACCUUACCUGGCCUUGACAUAGUAGAAACUUUCCAGAGAUGGAUUGGUGCCUUCGGGAAUCUACAUACAGGUGCUGCAUGGCUGUCGUCAGCUCGUGUCGUGAGAUGUUGGGUUAAGUCCCGCAACGAGCGCAACCCUUUUCCUUACUUGCCAGCAUUUCGGAUGGGAACUUUAAGGAUACUGCCAGUGACAAACUGGAGGAAGGCGGGGACGACGUCAAGUCAUCAUGGCCCUUACGGCCAGGGCUACACACGUGCUACAAUGGUCGGUACAA